rnacentral:rRNA from 1 species
GUGAACGCUAGCGGUGCGCCUAACACAUGCAAGUCGAGUGGGUUCAGACCCACGGCGAACGGCUGCGUAACACGUUGGUACCUGCCUCGUAUUCAGGGAUAACCCGCCGAAAGGCGGGCUAAUACCGGAUGGUCUCGCAAGAGUAAAGCUUUCGCGAUACGAGAGGGGCCUGCGGCCUAUCAGGUAGUUGGUAAGGUAACGGCUUACCAAGCCUAUGACGGGUAGCUGGAUUGAGAGAUCGACCAGCCAGAAUGGGACUGAGACACGGCCCAUACUCCUACGGGAGGCAGCAGUGAGGAAUCUUCCGCAAUGGGGGCAACCAUGACGGAGCGACACCGCGUGAAGGAUGAAACCCUUUUGGGCGUAAACUUCUGUUCUGAGGGAGGAAAUUUUUGACUGUACCUCAGGAGAAAGCACCGGCAAAUCUCGU